rnacentral:rRNA from 1 species
GGUGAGUAACACGUGGGUGAUCUGCCCCAAACUUUGGGAUAAGCCUGGGAAACUGGGUCUAAUACCGAAUAUGACCUGCCCUCGCAUGGGGGUUGGUGGAAAGCUCCGGCGGUUUGGGAUGGGCCCGCGGCCUAUCAGCUUGUUGGUGGGGUAAUGGCCUACCAAGGCGACGACGGGUAGCCGGCCUGAGAGGGCGACCGGCCACACUGGGACUGAGACACGGCCCAGACUCCUACGGGAGGCAGCAGUGGGGAAUAUUGCACAAUGGGCGCAAGCCUGAUGCAGCGACGCCGCGUGAGGGAUGACGGCCUUCGGGUUGUAAACCUCUUUCACCAGGGACGAAGCGAAAGUGACGGUACCUGGAGAAGAAGCACCGGCCAACUACGUGCCAGCAGCCGCGGUAAUACGUAGGGUGCGAGCGUUGUCCGGAAUUACUGGGCGUAAAGAGUUCGUAGGCGGUUUGUCGCGUCGUUCGUGAAAACUUGGGGCUUAACUCCAAGCGUGCGGGCGAUACGGGCAGACUUGAGUACUACAGGGGAGACUGGAAUUCCUGGUGUAGCGGUGAAAUGCGCAGAUAUCAGGAGGAACACCGGUGGCGAAGGCGGGUCUCUGGGUAGUAACUGACGCUGAGGAACGAAAGCGUGGGUAGCGAACAGGAUUAGAUACCCUGGUAGUCCACGCUGUAAACGGUGGGUACUAGGUGUGGGUUCCUUUUCACGGGAUCCGUGCCGUAGCUAACGCAUUAAGUACCCCGCCUGGGGAGUACG